rnacentral:rRNA from 1 species
CCUACGGGUGGCAGCAGUGAGGAAUAUUGGUCAAUGGACGCAAGUCUGAACCAGCCAUGCCGCGUGCAGGAAGACGGCUCUAUGAGUUGUAAACUGCUUUUGUACGGGGGUAAACGCAGAUACGCGUAUCUGUCUGAAAGUAUCGUACGAAUACGGAUCGGCGAACUCCGUGCCAGCAGCCGCGGUAAUACGGAGGAUUCAAGCGUUAUCCGGAUUUAUUGGGGUUAAAGGGUACGUAGGCGGUCGGAUAAGUUAGCGGUGAAAUCCCCGGGCUCAACUUCGGCAUUGCCGCUGAUACUGUUCAGCUAGAUGGUAGUUGAGGUAGGCGGAAUGCAUGGUGUAGCGGUGAAAUGCGUAGAGAUC